rnacentral:rRNA from 1 species
GACGAACGCUGGCGGCGUGCUUAACACAUGCAAGUCGAACGGAAAGGCCCUGCUUUUGUGGGGUGCUCGAGUGGCGAACGGGUGAGUAACACGUGAGUAACCUGCCCUUGACUUUGGGAUAACUUCAGGAAACUGGGGCUAAUACCGGAUAGGAGCUCCUGCUGCAUGGUGGGGGUUGGAACGUUUCGGCGGUUGGGGAUGGACUCGCGGCUUAUCAGCUUGUUGGUGGGGUAGUGGCUUACCAAGGCUUUGACGGGUAGCCGGCCUGAGCGGGUGACCGGCCACAUUGGGACUGAGAUACGGCCCAGACUCCUACGGGAGGCAGCAGUGGGGAAUAUUGCACAAUGGGCGGAAGCCUGAUGCAGCAACGCCGCGUGCGGGAUGACGGCCUUCGGGUUGUAAACCGCUUGCGCCUGUGACGAAGCGUGAGUGACGGUAAUGGGUAAAGAAGCACCGGCUAACUACGUG